rnacentral:rRNA from 1 species
CCUGGAGGAAGGUGGGGAUGACGUCAAAUCAUCAUGCCCCUUAGGCUUAGGGCUACACACGUGCUACAAUGGGUAGUACAGAGGGUUGCCAAGCCGUAAGGUGGAGCUAAUCCCUUAAAGCUACUCUUAGUUCGGAUUGUAGGCUGAAACUCGCCUACAUGAAGCUGGAGUUACUAGUAAGCGCAGAUCAGAAUGCUGCGGUGAAUGCGUUCCCGGGUCUUGUACACACCGCCCGUCACACCACGGGAGUUGGAGACGCCCGAAGCCGAUUAUCUAACCUUUUGGAAGAAGUCGUCGAAGGUGGAAUCAAUAACUGGGGUGAAGUCGUAACAAGGUAGCCGUAUCGGAAGGUGCGGCUGGAUCACCUCCUUUCUAAGGAGA